rnacentral:misc_RNA from 1 species
GUCUGUUUCCUUGCGACUGCGUGAGUUCGGGAAUAUUCUCUGACAAAGGUUAGUCACAUCAGCGCCGCUGUUUACACAACAACAUCCAGUUAACCCUACUUAUCCGCUAACAGCCCAGGAAAUUAAUCAGCUCGUCUCGAGGGGAUAAUUUAGAAAACGUGGAUGUAACAACGAUGGACAUAUCUCUUCAAAGAGACAGUGACAGCGAAUCUGAAUUCGAGGUGAUCCCAAGACGCCUAGUAAUAAUCGGGAAAACUGGAAAUGGAAAGAGCAGUCUUGGAAACAUCUUUCUUGGUCGUCAUGACAACCUGUUUGAGAUCGGCAAAGGAAUGAGCAGCACGACUGUAAAACUUUGCACGGGGGACAGCGAAGAGCGAGACUUUACAAUCUUCGACACUCCAGACCUGGUUAACUGCGAAAUGUCCGAUGCUGAUGCCAAAAAGGCAAGUGGAGGAGUGGAGAACAUCACCAGAAACUUCAGUUGCAGUGGUUGUCGCCAUUCGCUGUGACGUCCGUUACACCGCCGAGGAGUACGCCAUCUACACAAAGAUCAAAGACCUCUGGGGAGAAGGCUUCUGCAACAACCUGGUGAUUGCCUUCACUUUUAAGGACAGACUAGACCAUGACGAGAAAGAGUUCGAACUAGAGUUAAAGACAGUGUGCCAGGAACUACAGAACGUGCUGGAGGAUGCCCGUCGCCGGUAUGUUCUCUUCGACUGCUCGCCAGGGAGGUAUGUUGAGGAGAUGCACAAAGAUACAUUCAACAAACUUGCGGAGUGCUUCAGCAGGGAUAAUACGCAGUCUGGGAGUUAUUUGUCCUGGGUUCCUGCUGUCGUCACCAAGGUUAUAAAUCCAUGCGUUUCCUUUCUGAAAAGUCUCUUCCAAUAGAAGAAGGAAGGUUUUUGAACGAGAAAUAAACACUUUCAUGUUGUGAACAUUGAUCUUUCAUAAUAACCAACGAAGGAGAUGAUUUUAUGACAUAUACAAUAAUAAAACAAAUUUCGCGAUUGUAUAAAUAAAUGCUUGAUGCAUUAUACUUUUUUUUUAAAUGUGAUUUUCUUUGUAAACAAUGUUAGCUCUACUAAAUGUGUAUCUGUCUGCGAAAUGGUCUAGCACUCUAGCUGAAUGUACAUUAUAUUUCCUUUACUUGUCAGAAAAAUAUAAAAGAGUGUUUUGUAUGUUCGGAUAAACAUGUGCGAAAAUACAAAUUAACUGCUUAGGUUUUAUGACAGCGCAAUUUCUAUAUCACAGUUGAAAUAUGUUACGACUUUUUUUGUGUUCUAAGUUGGUACUCACAUGUUACAUCGUUUGGAAGCAUAGGUCACUUUAAACAUUUUAUAGAUUGUUAAUUUAUAUAUCAAUUUAAAAUGAUUCAGAACCUCUGACGAAUAAUCUUUUGUUACACAUUUACAAGAAAUAUUCGUUUUAAAAGAAUUUAAUAAAUGAAUAUGAUGAAAACUAUUUACUUUGAAAAUCCCUCAUUUGCUAUUUUUACUAUUUCAUUGUAAAACUAAUGAUUAUAAAGUUAAAUGUUUCUCACUUUUUGUCCUUGUUAUGCUUUACUGUGAUUUGAAGUAGAUAUAAUUUUUUCCCUGCUUUUCUUUUUCUGAGUCAGCACAAAUAAAACAGCUCUUAAAUAC